rnacentral:tRNA from 1 species
GUAGCUCAGUUGGCAGAGUGCUUGCCUAGCAUGCAUGAAGCCCUGAGUUCGAUCCUUAGC